GCAGUGGACAGGCUAGGCAGUAGAUGGGCUAGGCAUUAGAUGGGCUAGUCAGUAGACAGGCUAGGCAGUCGAUGGGCUAGGCAGUGGACAGGCUAGGCAGUAGAUGGGCUAGGCAGUAGACGGGCUAGGCAGUCGAUGGGCUAGGCAGUGGUCAGGCUAGGCAGUAGAUGGGCUAGGCGGUAGACAGGCUAGGCAGUGGACAUGCUAGGCAGUAGAUGGGCUAGGCAGUGGACAGGCUAGGCAGUGGACAGGCUAGGCAGUAGAUGGGCUAGGCAGUGGACAGGCUAGGCAGUAGAUGGGCUAGGCAGUAGAUGGGCUAGGCAGUGGACA
ensembl:lncRNA